rnacentral:rRNA from 1 species
UUAGGAAUAUUCGUCAAUGGGGGAAACCCUGAACGAGCAAUGCCGCGUGAGUGAUGACGGUCCUAUGGAUUGUAAAACUCUGUUGUUUGGAAAGAACUGUAUAAGUAGGAAAUGACUUAUACUUGACGGUACCAUUCAAGAAAGCCACGGCUAACUACGUGCCAGCAGCCGCGGUAAUACGUAGGUGGCGAGCGUUAUCCGGAUUUAUUGGGCGUAAAGCGUCCGCAGCCGGUUUUAUAAGUCUAGAAUAAAAGCCUGGGGCUCAACUCCAGUUCGUUCUAGAAACUGUAAGACUCGAGUGUGGUAGAGGCAAAUGGAAUUUCUAGUGUAGCGGUAAAAUGCGUAGAUAUUAGAAGGAACACCAGUGGCGAAGGCGAUUUGCUGGGCCAUCACUGACGGUCAGGGACGAAAGCGUGGGGAGCAAAUAGG